CUGAUAAGAGAAAAAGGCCCAAAAACACAGGGAAUAUUUAUGGCAUGUCCUAAUGGAACAUCGUGGAAUUCCCUGAAAGAAAAAUUAGAUACCGGGGAAGAAGUGAAUAUAAGAAAGCUGUCGGUGCAUGAAGUGGCUUGGCUACUAAAGGAGUUUCUUGGAUCAAUAAAAGGAAGUCUGCUCACUUCCAAAUUAUUCGACCACUGGCUUGCUGUACCCCAAAAGUUGAAUGACAAAGAAAAAUUAGCCACAGUGCGGAGGUAAU